AACUAACGCUGGCGGCGUGCCUAACACAUGCAAGUCGUACGAGAAAGUCGGCUUCGGCCGAUGAGUAAAGUGGCGCACGGGUGAGUAAUGCGUGGAUAAUCUGCCCUUGAGUUCGGAAUAACGUACCGAAAGGUGCGCUAAUACCGGAUAAUACUGCACAACUACUGUUGUGUAGUCAAAGAUGGCCUCUGUUUACAAGCUUUUGCUGAAGGAUGAGUCCGCGUACCAUUAGCUAGUUGGUGGGGUAAUGGCCUACCAAAGCGACGAUGGUUAGCUGGUCUGAGAGGAUGAUCAGCCACACUGGAACUGAGACACGGUCCAGACUCCUACGGGAGGCAGCAGUGAGGAAUAUUGCGCAAUGGGGGCAACCCUGACGCAGCAACGCCGCGUGAGUGAGGAAGGUUUCGGACCGUAAAGCUCUGUCGAGCGGGAAGAAAUGCAUGGUGGCUAAUAUUCAUCAUGCUUGACGGUACCGCU
rnacentral:rRNA from 1 species